rnacentral:misc_RNA from 1 species
ACACCUCAACUCUUGUGGUUUCCCACAAUGAGCUUGGACCAUGGGGGUUUUUGUUGGCCUUCUGGCCAGCUCCUCUCAAAUGUAUCAGCUUACCGGUGUUUGGUGGCAUCAUGGGUGUGAUAACUAUCUACGCUCGUGGUUGUCUCCAAAUAACCUCCAGUGAUGGGGGUUCGCUGGAGCUUAUAAAUGUCUCUCCCUAGUGAAGACAGCCUUUGAAU